ensembl:lncRNA
AGGUGUUUAUUCUGCCUUGGACUGAAACAGAAACAUUGGCUCUUCCUGGGUCUCAAGCUGGCUGGCGUUAAGACUGGAAUUAUAUCAUCUGUUCCUUGGGUCUCCAGCUUACCAACUCACCCUGCAGAGUUUAGGACUUGCCCACAAUUGUGGAGAUCUGACAAAAUUCUUCAGCAGCGGACUAGCCAAGAGGUGGUGUAGGACCACAAAGUUCAGGACACUGACUCCAUUCUCCACUGGGAUGGCCUUCUCAGGAGGUUGUUCUGAUCACCCCUAGUUCCAGUUCUUUUCUACCAUUGGGUCAGCCCUGUGUUCAGAUUCUGAGAAGUGUCCCAAGUGCAACACACACAAAAAGACCAGGAGCUGCCAAUCAUUCUAAAUGUGAAGGUCUUUGAAUCUUAUGGAGCAUUUUCAUAUAAAAAUUACUUCUUAUUUGAUCUUCACAAAACUUUUCCUAUGAGAUCAACAUGAUUUCCAUGUUACAGAGACAGGUAGAUUAAGGAUUGCACCCACAUUUUCGGACUCGAUUUUUGUGAAAACAGUUCACUUUUUGGUUUUGCUUCUGUUUUCUAAAGUGUCCUUAGUAAGUCACAUUCCUCAAAGGCUGAAACAAACAAAAGCAACCAUGAACACAAAACAAAAACAGAAAAGAAAAGAGAAAAAAAGACCCUUUCUGAUAAAUUUAAAAUGCUGAUAGUAUGAAGAUACAAUUAAAUUGAAAAUACAUUUGCCAUAGCUUUUACAAGCAUUCUUGGAACGCCUUCCUGUACUCCGAAACCACCUACUCUGCAUGGCCAAUCUUCAUGUGGGAAGAGUAAGCAGAAGGCAUUUGCCAAGGAGGCUGCUGCACCUCACUACCACGGAGGCAACAUGACCUUCGCUAUUUCUGCCACAUGAUUGGGUGAUUCAGCACUGCUCCUAGCAUGAAAGCUGGCUCUGUUUUAUGGGAUUUCCACUGCCCCACCCUACUUGAGCCAGUGUACAGUGUUAAAGAUAACAAAUGACCCCAUCUGCUGUUCCUGACCAUGCUGUAUGUGCCAAGUUUAAAUAAGAGAGUCUUACCUCGUGUCCUGUCUGGGCAAGCACAAUGACUCGUCGUUAGUACCCAUUCCCCUCUGAGAUCACAGAUUAAGUCCAAUUUCCAAUUUUCUAGACUCCAUUGGAAGGUUAGUUAUGUCAAUCCACAAGUUUUGACACUUUGGGCUUUUCAAGUGAAUUCAAGUUAGAAGGUAUUUAGAAGUCUCUGAGCUUAUUGGCUAAGGACAGUAAGAAAAUCAGGAAACCUUUGAGUGGUUUUUUCAAAAUGAAUUUCUUACAGAGCCUCACACUUAGAGACAACUAAAAUACAAAUGAUUGAUAUGUAAACUGUUUAUUCUCCUAGCGGAUGCCAAAAUUUUCAAGCAAACUGUUGUGAAGACACUAGAGCUUUCAGGGUUCUGGCUCUAUAUCCUGUAAAAUCUGUAGAGCAUUGAAAACCUCUAUUUGUAAAACACGCCAAAGUUGUUUCUGACAAUCAAGGCCUCUUUUCAAGAAAGUCUGUUGAUUUCUAUAUGAAGAAAAAGGAGAAAUAAAAAAUAAAGCCAACAGAUGGCGAGGACCAUUUUAAGUGAUUUAACUGUCUCCCCACCCCCCACGGUAUGGUCUGCAUAGCAGUUAAUACUCUCUGAAAUCACCUUACUUUUUACUUGUUUCUUCUCAUCCACUUACCCAUUGUAUACACUCCAUGAAAGCAGAAAUAUUGUCUCUUUUACUUUGUACUAAAGAUUGUUGAAUGAAAAAAAAAGACUUCAGAAAGCACCUCUAUUCACUAUACUUUUCGUAUAUUAAAAUAUGUUAAAACCCUGUACAUUUCAGUGAUUUAAAAAUUUUCCACAACCACAGUAACUGAAUCAGGGUAAGAACCUGGGUCUCUGCAGCUCAAGUGCUGGUUAUUGUGUGCUAGUUACUUUCAGGUGGUCAUCUGCUCAAGUCGAUUUAUCUAGAUAGUAUUGAUUAUCAAUAAGUC